rnacentral:rRNA from 1 species
AGUGAACGCUGGCGGUAGGCCUAACACAUGCAAGUCGAACGGCAGCACAGUAAGAGCUUGCUCUUACGGGUGGCGAGUGGCGGACGGGUGAGGAAUACAUCGGAAUCUACUUUUUCGUGGGGGAUAACGUAGGGAAACUUACGCUAAUACCGCAUACGACCUACGGGUGAAAGCAGGGGAUCUUCGGACCUUGCGCGAUUGAAUGAGCCGAUGUCGGAUUAGCUAGUUGGCGGGGUAAAGGCCCACCAAGGCGACGAUCCGUAGCUGGUCUGAGAGGAUGAUCAGCCACACUGAAACUGAGACACGGUCCAGACUCCUACGGGAGGCAGCAGUGGGGAAUAUUGGACAAUGGGCGCAAGCCUGAGCCAGCCAUACCGCGUGGGUGAAGAAGGCCUUCGGGUUGUAAAGCCCUUUUGUUGGGAAAGAAAAGCAGCAGGUUAAUACCCCGCUGUUCUGACGGUACCCAAAGAAUAAGCACCGGCUAACUUCGG